rnacentral:rRNA from 1 species
GGUGCUUGCACCUGAUUGACGAUGGAUCACCAGUGAGUGGCGGACGGGUGAGUAACACGUAGGUAACCUGCCCCGGAGCGGGGGAUAACAUUUGGAAACAGAUGCUAAUACCGCAUAACAACAAAAGCCACAUGGCUUUUGUUUGAAAGAUGGCUUUGGCUAUCACUCUGGGAUGGACCUGCGGUGCAUUAGCUAGUUGGUAAGGUAACGGCUUACCAAGGCGAUGAUGCAUAGCCGAGUUGAGAGACUGAUCGGCCACAAUGGAACUGAGACACGGUCCAUACUCCUACGGGAGGCAGCAGUAGGGAAUCUUCCACAAUGGGCGCAAGCCUGAUGGAGCAACACCGCGUGAGUGAAGAAGGGUUUCGGCUCGUAAAGCUCUGUUGUUGGAGAAGAAUGUGCGUGAGAGUAACUGUUCACGCAGUGACGGUAUCCAACCAGAAAGUCACGGCUAACUACGUGCCAGCAGCCGCGGUAAUACGUAGGUGGCAAGCGUUAUCCGGAUUUAUUGGGCGUAAAGCGAGCGCAGGCGGUUGCUUAGGUCUGAUGUGAAAGCCUUCGGCUUAACCGAAGAAGUGCAUCGGAAACCGGGCGACUUGAGUGCAGAAGAGGACAGUGGAACUCCAUGUGUAGCGGUGGAAUGCGUAGAUAUAUGGAAGAACACCAGUGGCGAAGGCGGCUGUCUGGUCUGCAACUGACGCUGAGGCUCGAAAGCAUGGGUAGCGAACAGGAUUAGAUACCCUGGUAGUCCAUGCCGUAAACGAUGAGUGCUAGGUGUUGGAGGGUUUCCGCCCUUCAGUGCCGGAGCUAACGCAUUAAGCACUCCGCCUGGGGAGUACGACCGCAAGGUUGAAACUCAAAGGAAUUGACGGGGGCCCGCACAAGCGGUGGAGCAUGUGGUUUAAUUCGAAGCUACGCGAAGAACCUUACCAGGUCUUGACAUCUUGCGCUAACCUUAGAGAUAAGGCGUUCCCUUCGGGGACGCAAUGACAGGUGGUGCAUGGUCGUCGUCAGCUCGUGUCGUGAGAUGUUGGGUUAAGUCCCGCAACGAGCGCAACCCUUGUUACUAGUUGCCAGCAUUAAGUUGGGCACUCUAGUGAGACUGCCGGUGACAAACCGGAGGAAGGUGGGGACGACGUCAGAUCAUCAUGCCCCUUAUGACCUGGGCUACACACGUGCUACAAUGGACGGUACAACGAGUCGCAAGCUCGCGAGAGUAAGCUAAUCUCUUAAAGCCGUUCUCAGUUCGGACUGUAGGCUGCAACUCGCCUACACGAAGUCGGAAUCGCUAGUAAUCGCGGAUCAGAAUGCCGCGGUGAAUACGUUCCCGGGCCUUGUACACACCGCCCGUCACACCAUGGGAGUUUGUAACGCCCAAAGUCGGUGGCCUAAC